AAAGUGCACAUGAGCGGAGUGAGCGUGCCCGCGAACGCACUCACAUUUGCAAACCGGUAGGGAAGGAGGAGAAAGGGACUCAUUCAUCUGAUCCUGGCUCUUCUUCAACCUAUACAGAAGCCGGUGGUUUCUCUUCCCUCCUCCAAGAUGGAGAUGCGAUGCAGAUGACCUACAGAUGACCGACAUCUUAGG